rnacentral:rRNA from 1 species
UACGGAGGGUGCAAGCGUUAUCCGGAUUCACUGGGUUUAAAGGGUGCGUAGGUGGGCAAGUAAGUCAGUGGUGAAAUCUCCGGGCUUAACCCGGAAACUGCCAUUGAUACUAUUUGUCUUGAAUACCGUGGAGGUGAGCGGAAUAUGUCAUGUAGCGGUGGAAUGCUUAGAUAUGACAUAGAACACCAAUUGCGAAGGCAGCUCGCUACACGAAUAUUGACUCUGAGGCACGAAAGCGUGGGGAUCAAACAGG